rnacentral:rRNA from 1 species
UACGUAGGGUGCAAGCGUUGUCCGGAAUCAUUGGGCGUAAAGAGCGUGUAGGCGGCCCGAUUAGUCCGCUGUGAAAGUCCAGGGCUCAACCCUGGAAUGCCGGUGGAUACUGUCGGGCUAGAGUCCGGAAGGGGCGAGUGGAAUUCCUGGUGUAGCGGUGAAAUGCGCAGAUAUCAGGAGGAACACCAAUGGCGAAGGCAGCUCGCUGGGACGUGACUGACGCUGAGACGCGAAAGCGUGGGGAGCAAAC